GAUCCUGGCUCAGGAUGAACGCUAGCUACAGGCUUAACACAUGCAAGUCGAGGGGCAGCAUGGUCUUAGCUUGCUAAGGCCGAUGGCGACCGGCGCACGGGUGAGUAACACGUAUCCAACCUGCCGUCUACUCUUGGACAGCCUUCUGAAAGGAAGAUUAAUACAAGAUGGCAUCAUGAGUCCGCAUGUUCACAUGAUUAAGGUAAUUCCGGUUACGACGAUGGGGAGG
rnacentral:rRNA from 1 species